rnacentral:rRNA from 1 species
GACGAACGCUGGCGGCGUGCCUAAUACAUGCAAGUCGAACGCUGAGGAGAGGAGCUUGCUCUUUUUGGGUGAGUUGCGAACGGGUGAGUAACGCGUAGGUAACCUACCUUUUAGCGUGGGAUAACUACGGGAAACGAGAGCUAAUACCGCAUAACAAUUCAUAACGCAUGUCUCUUUUUUGAAAGAUGGCAUUGCUCCCCUAUAUAAUUGACCUGCGUUGUAUUUACUUGUAGGGGAGGUAAAGGCUUUCCCAGGCGACGGUACCUAAGCGACCUGGAAGGGUGAACGGCCACAAUGGGACUGAGACAAGGGCCAGACUCCCACGGGAGGCAGCAGGAGGGGAACCUCGGGAAAGGGGGGAAAGCUGAACGGGCAACGCCGCGUGAGGGAAGGAGGUUUUCGGAUCGUAAAGCUCUGUUGUAAGUCAAGAACGGGUGUGAGAGUGGAAAGUUCACACUGUGACGGUAGCUUACCAGAAAGGGACGGCUAACUACGUG